GUAACCUGGCUCUUAUUUCUGAUGCUGGCUCUGAUCCUUGGUUCUACUCACUGGGCAUAACUCUGCCCAGGGACAGAUUAGGGGCAGGUGACCACCUAGGGAGCUCUCUACCAAAAAUGGGAACUAAAGCUCUGCAGCAGAAUGGCUUGGUUGAGCUGACAAGAAGGCAGAUAAAACAGGAGGAAACUCCAGGAGGUUGGGCAUUCCCCUGCUGCCACUGAGUGACCUCUGGCUGUGGUGCCACGCUACAAGAAGCUGAAGUAUCCAUUAUGAUGGAGCUGUGGACCUUAUUACUUGAAGAAAGGAAACUUUCAUGUGGAGUGACAGUAGACUACUAUGUGCAGCAAGUAUGGCUAAUGUCUCUCUCUAUCUACUUCACCCUAUACAUCUGUCUGCUGCUGGCAAGUGAGGAAAAUACAAAGUCAAACACUUGUGUACCAGCAAUUUCUGUUGGAUAUUCUAGCUGCUGAUCCUCCAAGGAGAACUUUAAGUAAGGAAUUGAAUUUAUAAUGUAGGCCAAGAGAAUUUCAAGCUUAAUUCAGAAAUUUAUGGACUCAUCAACAGCA